GGGGAAUAUUGCACAAUGGGCGAAAGCCUGAUGCAGCAACGCCGCGUGAGCGAAGAAGGCCUUUGGGUCGUAAAGCUCUGUCGGGAAGGAAGAUAAUGACGGUACUUCCCGAGGAAGCCCCGGCUAACUACGUGCCAGCAGCCGCGGUAAUACGUAGGGGGCGAGCGUUAUCCGGAAUUACUGGGCGUAAAGAGUGCGUAGGUGGUUGCUUAAGCGUGGGGUGAAAGGCAAUGGCUUAACCAUUGUGAGCCUCGCGAACUGGGCGACUUGAGUGCAGGAGAGGAAAGCGGAAUUCCUAGUGUAGCGGUGAAAUGCGUAGAUAUUAGGAGGAACACCAGUGGCGAAGGCGGCUUUCUGGACUGUAACUGACACUGAGGCACGAAAGCGUGGGGAGCAAAC
rnacentral:rRNA from 1 species